rnacentral:rRNA from 1 species
UACGUAGGGCGCAAGCGUUGUCCGGAAUUAUUGGGCGUAAAGAGCUCGUAGGCGGCUUGUCGCGUUCGGUUGUGAAAGCCCGGGGCCUUAACCCCGGGUCUGCAGUCGAUACGGGCAGGCUAGAGUUCGGUAGGGGGAGAUCGGAAUUCCUGGAUGUAGCGGUGAAAUGACGUAGAGAUCAGGAAGGAACACCGUGGCGAAGGCGCUCUGGCUAGCGCACUGACGACUGAAGGCG